rnacentral:rRNA from 1 species
GAUGAACGCUGGCGGCGUGCCUAAUACAUGCAAGUCGAGCGAACAGACGAGGAGCUUGCUCCUCUGACGUUAGCGGCGGACGGGUGAGUAACACGUGGAUAACCUACCUAUAAGACUGGGAUAACUUCGGGAAACCGGAGCUAAUACCGGAUAAUAUAUUGAACCGCAUUGUUCAAUAGUGAAAGACGGUUUUGCUGUCACUUAUAGAUGGAUCCGCGCCGCAUUAGCUAGUUGGUAAGGUAACGGCUUACCAAGGCAACGAUGCGUAGCCGACCUGAGAGGGUGGUCGGCCACACUGGGACUGAGACACGGUCCAGACUCCUACGGGAGGCAGCAGUAGGGAAUCUUCCGCAAUGGGCGAAAGCCUGACGGAGCAACGCCGCGUGAGUGAUGAAGGUCUUCGGAUCGUAAAACUCUGUUAUUAGGGAAGAACAAAUGUGUAAGUAACUAUGCACGUCUUGACGGUACCUAAUCAGAAAGCCACGGCUAACUACGUG